AUACGUAGGGGCCAAACGUUGUCCGGAUUUAUUGGGCGUAAAGGGCUCGUAGGCGGUUCAACAAGUCGAUCGUGAAAGCCCGGGGCUCAACCCCGGGACGCCGGUCGAAACUGUUGUGACUAGGGUCCUGUAGAGGUGAGUGGAAUUCUCGGUGUAGCGGUGGAAUGCGCAGAUAUCGAGAGGAACACCAGUUGCGAAGGCGGCUCACUGGGCCGGUACCGACGCUAAGGAGCGAAAGCGUGGGGAGCAAACAGAAUUAGAUACCCGGGUAGUCC
rnacentral:rRNA from 1 species